rnacentral:rRNA from 1 species
AACCAACAGGGAUUGCCCCUAGUAACGGCGAGUGAAGCGGCAACAGCUCAAAUUUGAAAUCUGGCUCUUUUAGGGUCCGAGUUGUAAUUUGCAGAGGGCGCUUUGGCUUUGGCAGCGGUCCAAGUUCCUUGGAACAGGACGUCACAGAGGGUGAGAAUCCCGUACGUGGUCGCUAGCUAUCGCCGUGUAAAGCCCCUUCGACGAGUCGAGUUGUUUGGGAAUGCAGCUCUAAAUGGGAGGUAAAUUUCUUCUAAAGCUAAAUAUUGGCCAGAGACCGAUAGCGCACAAGUAGAGUGAUCGAAAGAUGAAAAGCACUUUGGAAAGAGAGUCAAACAGCACGUGAAAUUGUUGAAAGGGAAGCGCUUGCAGCCAGACUUGCUUGCAGUUGCUCAUCCGGGCUUUUGCCCGGUGCACUCUUCUGUAGGCAGGCCAGCAUCAGUUUGGGCGGUGGGAUAAAGGUCUCUGUCACGUACCUCUCUUCGGGGAGGCCUUAUAGGGGAGACGACAUACCACCAGCCUAGACUGAGGUCCGCGCAUCUGCUAGGAUGCUGGCGUAAUGGCUGUAAGCGGCCCGUCUUGAAACACGGACCAAGGAGUCUAACAUCUAUGCGAGUGUUUGGGUGUCAAGCCCGAGCGCGUAAUGAAAGUGAACGGAGGUGGGAACCCGCAAGGGUGCACCAUCGACCGAUCCUGAAGUUUUCGGAAGGAUUUGAGUAAGAGCAUGGCUGUUGGGACCCGAAAGAUGGUGAACUAUGCUUGAAUAGGGUGAAGCCAGAGGAAACUCUGGUGGAGGCUCGCAGCGGUUCUGACGUGCAAAUCGAUCGUCAAAUUUGGGCAUAGGGGCGAAAGACUAAUCGAACUAUCUAGUAGCUGGUUC